AAGGUGUCAGGUGUAGCUCGGGUUUCUCCUAAUAGGGCUGCAGCAAGCACAAGGUGAUAAAGCAGGAAGGGAGGCCCUGGUUUGCCUCUGACACCCGUCCUCAGAGCAACGUCCUCUUCAGCCCCCUUGCAACUCGGGGAUAAUCCCUCACCUGAUGGCUGCCUGCUGUGAUGCAGCGCCCCUGUUGGCAUGCUCGUGGCUCAUCCCUGGCGGCACAGGACGGCGGGCGGGCGCGUGAUCUCUGCUCCUGGUGGGAACGCUUUCAUCCGGGUGCACGGCACAUUAGCAGGCACAGCCCUUGAAGAACCACCAAGGGCUGGGAUGCGGCCAAUGGAUCUGCAUAAUUGCCGGCCCAUCCCAUGCUUCAUUCUGCCUCUAGAAAGAUUCUCCCUCCUCCUCUGCAUACGUUUAUUAAUCCCUGUCCUGAACUGUGUGAAAUCAGUGAGGAAUUUGCCUGAGGUUCCUCUCCGCCAGCACUGGCCCAGGGCUUCUCAGCAGUGUAAGCAAAAUUAAAGGAGGUUCUGGGGCUGGGAUGAAACCACCCUGGCUUGUCAGAGGGAGGAAGAGAGGAGCUGUGGUGCUGAACUUGCUGCCCUCGGUGCGGUAAGGAUAGAGGAGAAGCCGAACCUCCCAGUGGCAGAUUUCCCACAUCCCUGGGAUUUUCCAUGUUUUACAAUCUCAGCUAAAUGUCCCCUUUUUAGGAUUAUUUCCUAUAUUCCUACAGUCAUUUAUUAACGACAGAUCACUGCCAUGCUCCUUGCCACUCUCUUGGUCCCAAAGUUGUUCUCUAUUUUUUGUAUCCCUUGCAAAUUUCUAUUUCCAACAAGCCCACUGUUAUCUCACUUUUGCUAUUUUAAGUUCAGUGGCACAAAAAGGCUGACUCACAGAAAGCCGUGUUGUAGGAAAUAUUGGCUCAGCUGAGGAAAUAAUUCUCAGUUCAUUCUUCCACCAUGUGCUUUAGGUUUUUUCUGUCCCUUUUUUUUUUCCCUGUCUGUUGGUCUCAUGUUAUGCCACGCAUCCAGCUAGCACUGUGAAAGAUGGAGAGCUAUUUCUAAUACACACAGCACUGGUCCACAAAGUCAAAUGUCUCUUUCUAUAUAUACCCUGGAGUGUUUUAUGUACCUGCUAGAAAUGUUACACAGAAUGCUCACACAGCUCAUAAAAUUUGGUCUUGUAUUGGAAAUGUUUUGUGGAAAUAUGCUGCUUAAUCUACUGCAGCAAUUCACAGUUAAUGUUGUCACAGUGCGCAUUGGAGGUUGUGAAUGAAGAUUACGACCGGCUCGGAGGAGUUUGAUACGUUAUCACAAGUCCUCAAGAACAAAGCUGGAAGCAGUGGAUGUUCCAAAAAAUGUAGAUAAUUGAGCAAAAAAAGGGGACAGCCAGGAGGCCCAGGCAGUCAUACUUCGGGUCGGGCUCGUGUUGGUCCUGUGCUCUGAGUACCUGCAAACCCUGCCUCAAAGCUAAGGGACUGUGUAAAACAAAGCCUGAACCAUGCCAGGGUGUGCUUUAACUGAGUGUUAAGCACAUCAGUGAAAGACGGGGCUGAAGAGCUGGGAUUAAAUCAUAUAUUAAUAAGGUGUGAGGGGGAAGAGGAAAAAAAAAAAAAAAGAAAUAUUUACUUCACAAGGACUUUAAUCACUGCAGCAAGUUGUCUAAUAAACUGCAGGGUGUGCUUUGGCCGUGCCAUGUAGUUCAUUCAUUUUAGCUUUAAUCUACCAGAAAAUAAUGUUUAACGUCUUCUAGAUAUGGGUAUGGCAGCUAUCUACAGGAAAGCAGUUGAUACCAAUAAUAUAAGAAAAACAAGGGACUUUUGAAAGUACCUAUUGCUAAUUUUUUUCUAAACCUUUUUGACACUAUCGUUAGCAAAACCUAAUUAGAAACUGGUUUUCAACAACUGCUGUCCUCUGGAUAUUAAAGUAUAGCCCUCGUAUAAAUAAUAUUAUCUUUAAAAUACUUUGUAAUAAACACUAAUUUACCCUCCCAAUUUUCUUGUGAGGUAGAUAAUUAUGUGUUAACAAUAAUAUCAUCAUCAUUAGUAGCAGUGUUAGUCCUCUCUUUUUAUAGAUGGAGGAUCAUGCACUGAUAAUAAACAGCUUGCUGAAGGCCACAUGAGGAGUCUUUCAGGACUCUGAUUAGAGAGCAAACAGUCCUGGCUCCCAGUCCUCUGCUCGCAUGGAGAAGGAGAACAAUGUUGGUAUAAUGAGAGAAGAGCAGGGGCUUAAAUAUCAGCAGGAGGAAUCUUCCUCAGGUUGGCUGGGUUCUUGCACUGCCAGGAAAUAUUAAAGUGUUAUGUGACAGAGAUAAAGGUAAAUAUCUAAUAGAUUUUGCACCUUUUGUACUUGUACUUUUAUUUAGUAAUUAUACCAAGUAAUGCAGAUAAUAUUAUGAAUCACGAUGGCACUUAAAAUGCUGGAUUUUUGCAACCACAUCCUGGCCCCGUGAGAUAAUCCAUUUUGAUCUCGAGCUGCAGCCAGGUAUGUCUUGCUUGAAACUUCAGAGGUGUGUGAUAGCUGCCAGCGCCGCACCCUUUUUUGUAAUGUUGUUAAAAGAAAACAUGUUUGGAUUUGCUCAGCCAUUGUAGGAUGCAAGAUUGGAGUUACAACUCUGCCAUGAACGCAGCCUUGCUGUGACCGUGUAGUUAACAGGGCCUUCUGUAGCAUUCUUGAGAAGUAAAAUUUUUGCCAUUUUAAGAAAUGUGGAUGUUUACACAUUUAGCUGUAAAACUGAAAAAA